AUCCCAUGAUGUGGAUAUUGUGCUAACAAAUCCUCAAAUCGUUUCCAUGCUUCACCAGUUGAUUCAUUAGGAUAUUGCUUGAACCCUAUGAUCUUCUUGUGCAA
rnacentral:snoRNA from 1 species